rnacentral:rRNA from 1 species
CCUACGGGUGGCAGCAGUGGGGAAUAUUGGACAAUGGGCGAAAGCCUGAUCCAGCCAUGCCGCGUGUGUGAAGAAGGCCUUCGGGUUGUAAAGCACUUUCAGUGGGGAAGAAAGCCUUGGGGCAAAUACCCUCGAGGAAGGACAUCACCCACAGAAGAAGCACCGGCUAACUCCGUGCCAGCAGCCGCGGUAAUACGGAGGGUGCGAGCGUUAAUCGGAAUUACUGGGCGUAAAGCGCGCGUAGGCGGUCUGAUAAGCCGGUUGUGAAAGCCCCGGGCUCAACCUGGGAACGGCAUCCGGAACUGUCAGGCUAGAGUGCAGGAGAGGAAGGUAGAAUUCCCGGUGUAGCGGUGAAAUGCGUAGAGAUCGGGAGGAAUACCAGUGGCGAAGGCGGCCUUCUGGACUGACACUGACGCUGAGGUGCGAAAGCGUGGGUAGCAAACAGGAUUAGAUACCCGGGUAGUC